UGCCAGCCGCCGCGGUAAUACGUAAGGGGCAAGCGUUAUCCGGAUUUAUUGGGCAUAAAGCGCGCGUAGGUGGUAUCUUAAGUCAGGUGUUAAAUCCUAUGGCUCAACCAGAGGUUGCGCCUGAAACUGAGAUACUAGAGGACAGUAGAGGAAAGUGGAAUUUCUGGUGUAGCGGUGAAAUGCGUAGAUAUCAGAAGGAACAUCAAUGGCGAAGGCGCUCUACUGGAUCAUUACUGACACUCAGAGGCGAAAGCUAGGGUAGCAAAAGGGAUUAGAUA
rnacentral:rRNA from 1 species